AUUGAACGCUGGCGGCAGGCUUAACACAUGCAAGUCGAGCGGGGUGAUGGUGCUUGCACUAUCACUUAGCGGCGGACGGGUGAGUAAUGCUUAGGAAUCUGCCUAUUAGUGGGGGACAACAUCUCGAAAGGGAUGCUAAUACCGCAUACGUCCUACGGGAGAAAGCAGGGGAUCACUUGUGACCUUGCGCUAAUAGAUGAGCCUAAGUCGGAUUAGCUAGUUGGUGGGGUAAAGGCCUACCAAGGCGACGAUCUGUAGCGGGUCUGAGAGGAUGAUCCGCCACACUGGGACUGAGACACGGCCCAGACUCCUACGGGAGGCAGCAGUGGGGAAUAUUGGACAAUGGGGGGAACCCUGAUCCAGCCAUGCCGCGUGUGUGAAGAGGGCCUUAUGGUUGUAAAGCACUUUAAGCAAGGAGGAGGCUCUUUUGGUUAAUACCCAAGAUGAGUGGACGUUACUCGCAGAAUAAGCACCGGCUAACUCUGUGCCAGCCGCCGCAGUAA
rnacentral:rRNA from 1 species